UUUGCAACUUCUUUUCUCUCUUUGCUUCCUCCGCUCCUUCAACACCACUUCUCUGGAAACAAAAUUCAGAAGAGCAGGGCCAGAGAAGUCGCUGUGAGCAGCGAUGCUGAGGCUAAAUUGAUUGCAUUUACUCCCACAUGCCAUCUCUACGAUUUUGACAGACAAAAAGAGUCUCUCUCUCUGUUGACAAAAAUUAUGUAAAUUAUUUUACUAAUUUUAGUUGAUUAUUGAUGAAUUGAAACAGGAUUGAAGAGUUCCAAAAUCGGCAUAUGAAUACGCUAGAGUACAGGGCCAUGAUGAAACUAAAGUGGCACGCGGAGCAACAAUUUAUGGAGAAGUUAGACAACCUAAGCCUCAUUAAUGGUGAAUCAAGCAAGCUGCACUAUAUUGACAAGGCCCCCGACUCAGCCCCGCGAGCUUGUCUGAUCCAGGUCAAACUGCAACAACCGAUCGAGGCUCGAAACCAGCUACAAUAAGGCCAUCCCGAUCUUGAGACUUCAGCUCAGGAAAUAGAUAAUUGAGAAUCUUUUCGAUCAUGUAUUUCCUUAUUUUUGCUUUAGAUUGGGUUUCAAUUUUUGCUUUUUAGUAUUUUAUGGCCUGGAUUAAAUUUUUAU